UACGGGGGGGGCAAGCGUUGUUCGGAAUUACUGGGCGUAAAGGGUUCGUAGGCGGCCAACUAAGUCAGACGUGAAAUCCCCAGGCUCAACCUGGGAACUGCGUCUGAUACUGGAUGGCUUGAAUUCGGGAGAGGGAUGCAGAAUUCCAGGUGUAGCGGUGAAAUGCGUAGAUAUCUGGAGGAAUACCGGUGGCGAAGGCGGCAUCCUGGACCGACAUUGACGCUGAUGAGCGAAAGCUAGGGGAGCAAGCGGG
rnacentral:rRNA from 1 species